rnacentral:rRNA from 1 species
GAUGAACGCUAGCGGCAGGCUUAACACAUGCAAGUCGAGGGGUAGAAAUAGCUUGCUAUUUUGAGACCGGCGCACGGGUGCGUAACGCGUAUGCAAUCUGCCUUGUACUGGGGAAUAGCCCGGAGAAAUCCGGAUUAAUGCCCCAUGGUAUUUUUGUGUGGCAUCACACGAUUAUUAAAGAUUUAUCGGUACGAGAUGAGCAUGCGUCCCAUUAGUUAGUUGGUGUGGUAACGGCACACCAAGACGAUGAUGGGUAGGGGUCCUGAGAGGGAGAUCCCCCACACUGGUACUGAGACACGGACCAGACUCCUACGGGAGGCAGCAGUGAGGAAUAUUGGUCAAUGGGCGCAAGCUUGAACCAGCCAUGCCGCGUGCAGGAUGACGGCCCUAUGGGUUGUAAACUGCUUUUAUACGGGAAGAAACACCUCUUCGUGAAGAGGCUUGACGGUACCGUAAGAAUAAGGAUCGGCUAACUCCGUGCCAGCCGCCGCCGUAAGAC